GGCGUAGGUGGCUUGGUAAGUCAGGUGUGAAAGCCCAGGGCUCAACCCUGGAAGUGCAUCUGAUACUGCUGAGCUUGAGUGUUGGAGAGGUCAUCGGAAUACCUGGUGUAGUGGUGAAAUACGUAGAUAUCAGGUGGAACACCGGAGGCGAAGGCGGGUGACUGGCCAAACACUGACACUGAGGCCCGAAAGCGUGGGGAUCAAACA
rnacentral:rRNA from 1 species